GACGUAGGGUGCAAGCGUUGUCCGGAUUUACUGGGCGUAAAGGACGCGUAGGCGGUCCGUUAAGUGUGAAGUGAAAUCUCCAGAGCUCAACUCGGAAACUGCUUCGCAUACUGGCGGACUAGAGGGAUGCAGAGGUAGCUAGAAUUCCUGGUGUAGCGGUGAAAUGCGUUGAUAUCAGGAGGAAUACCCAUGGCGAAGGCAGGCUACUGGGCAUCAUCUGACGCUGAGGCGUGAAAGCGUGGGUAGCAAACAGG
rnacentral:rRNA from 2 species